rnacentral:lncRNA from 1 species
GUGGAAAAUAUCCCCAGAGGAGGAGGUCUGAGGGAGCACAAGAGAGAUUCCUGUCGUUUUUCUCUCAAAGACCCUGGCUGGAUAGUUCCCACCUCAUCGAAAUCCAGCAGCAGGUCCCUAGCCAUGCUGGGCGGAGUGCCAUUAGAAAGAAAACUCAGACCCUUCUGCUUUCUCAGCUGUCCUCUGUUCCCACUGGGGUGGUAACAGCUCUGGCAGAUGUGAGAAGCAUCCCAAUCCUUUAAUUAAAAAAAACAAACCAGAAAAUGGGGCAUUACUUGUAAAACUUCAAGGAAGUAAUCUUUCUUCUUGAAGACAUUAAAAGCUUUCCUGGUGUUCUGGU